GCUGCACAGCUAUUUUCAGGUCUCUCCAGAGAUGUUCGAUCGGGUUCAAGUCCGGGCUCUGGCUGGGCCACUCAAGGACAUUCAAAGACUUGCCCCAUAGCCACUCCUACGUUCUCUUACCUGUUACCUGUUCAACGCCCAUAACACCCUCACACACAUUACCACCAACAGGUAACACACACACACUCUGACAUUACCACCAACAGGUAACACACACACUCUGACAUUACCACCAACAGGUAACACACACACUCUGACAUUACCACCAACAGGUAACACACACUCUCACAUUACCACCAACAGGUAACACACACACUCUCACAUUACCACCAACAGGUAACACACACACUCUCACAUUACCACCAACAGGUAACACACACACUCUCACAUUACCACCAACAUGUAACACACACACUCUCACAUUACCACCAACAGGUAACACACACACUCUGACAUUACCACCAACAGGUAACACACACACUCUCACAUUACCACCAACAGGUAACACACAC
rnacentral:lncRNA from 1 species